rnacentral:rRNA from 1 species
UAUAAAGUGGCGAACGGCUGAGUAACACGUGGGCAACCUGCCCUCCUCUUGGGGAUAGCCUCGGGAAACCGAGGAUAAUACCCGAUACUUCAAUGUGGCCGCAUGACGACAUUGAGAAAGCUUUUGCGGAGAAGGAUGGGCCCGCGGCCUGUUAGCUUGUUGGUGGGGUAGAGGCCUACCAAGGCAAUGAUGGGUAGCUGGGUUGAGAGACCGACCAGCCAGAUUGGGACUGAGACACGGCCCAGACUCC